GCCCGGGGCUCAACCUCGGAAUUGCAUUUGAAACUGGCAGACUAGAGUACUGUAGAGGGGGGUAGAAUUUCAGGUGUAGCGGUGAAAUGCGUAGAGAUCUGAAGGAAUACCGGUGGCGAAGGCGGCCCCCUGGACAGAUACUGACACUCAGAUGCGAAAGCGUGGGGAGCAAACAGGAUUAGAUACCCUGGUAGUCCACGCCGUAAACGAUGUCUACUUGGAGGUUGUGGC
rnacentral:rRNA from 1 species